rnacentral:rRNA from 1 species
UGAGUACGAGAUGCUACGGCAUCGAAGCAGUCUAUGUCAUACUUCCAAGAAAAGCUUGCACUGCCAUAAACAAAGAAUGCCUGUACCAUAACCGACACAGGUGGGUAGGUAGAGUAUACUAAGGGGCGCGAGAUAACUCUCUCUAAGGAACUCGGCAAAAUGACUCCGUAACUUCGGGAGAAGGAGUGCCUUAUUUCUAAGGUUGCAAUAACAAGAUCCAAGCAACUGUUUACCAAAAACACAGGUCUCCGCUAAGUCGUAAGACGAUGUAUGGGGGCUGACGCCUGCCCAGUGCCAGAAGGUUAAAGAAGUUGGAUAGCAUUAGCGAAGCUGAUAACUGAAGCCCCGGUGAACGGCGGCCGUAACAAUAACGGUCCUAAGGUAGCGAAAUUCCUUGUCGGGUAAGUUCCGACCCGCACGAAAGGCGUAAUGAUUUGGAUACUGUCUCGGAGAGGGGCUCGGUGAAAUAGACUUGUCUGUGAAGAUGCGGACUACCUGCACCUGGACAGAAAGACCCUAUGAAGCUUUACUGUAACUUGAGAUUGAAAUUGGACUUUAUUUGCGCAGUAUAGGUGGGAGGCGUUGAGAAUAAUCUUGCGGGAUUGUUGGAGCCAUCAGUGAGAUACCACUCUUGUAAUGUUAGAUUUCUAACUUUGUAUCAUUAUCUGGUCAAAGAACAGUUUCAGGCGGGCAGUUUGACUGGGGCGGUCGCCUCCCAAAGGGUAACGGAGGCGCACAAAGGUUUCCUCUGAACGGGUAGAAAUCGUAUCUAGAGUGUAAAGGCAUAAGGAAGCUUGACUGUGAGACCUACAAGUCGAGCAGGGACGAAAGUCGGUCUUAGUGAUCUGACGGUGCUGAGUGGAAAGGCCGUCACUCAACGGAUAAAAGUUACUCUAGGAUAACAGGCUGAUCUCCCCCAAGAGUUCACAUCGACGGGGAGGUUUGGCACCUCGAUGUCGGCUCAUCGCAUCCUGGGGCGGUAGUCCGUCCCAAGGGUUGGGCUGUUCGCCCAUGAAAGCGGUACGCGAGCUGGGUUCAGAACGUCGUGAGACAGUUCGGUCCAUAUCCGGUGUAGGCGUUAGAAUAUUGAGAGGAGCCUUCUCUAGUACGAGAGGACCGAGAAGGACAUACCUCUGGUGUACCAGUUAUCGUGCCAACGGUAAACGCUGGGUAGCUAUGUAUGGAGUGGAUAACCGCUGAAAGCAUCUAAGUGGGAAGCCCACCUCAAGAUAAGUAUUCUC